GACCAGACUCCUACGGGAGGCAGCAGUGGGGAAUAUUGCACAAUGGGGGAAACCCUGAUGCAGCGACGCCGCGUGAGUGAAGAAGUAUUUCGGUAUGUAAAGCUCUAUCAGCAGGGAAGAAAAUGACGGUACCUGACUAAGAAGCCCCGGCUAACUACGUGCCAGCAGCCGCGGUAAUACGUAGGGGGCAAGCGUUAUCCGGAUUUACUGGGUGUAAAGGGAGCGUAGACGGCAUGGCAAGUCAGAUGUGAAAGCCCGGGGCUCAACCCCGGGACUGCAUUUGAGACUGUCAGGCUGGAGUGCAGGAGAGGUAAGUGGAAUUCCUAGUGUAGCGGUGAAAUGCGUAGAUAUUAGGAGGAACACCAGUGGCGAAGGCGGCUUACUGGACUGUAACUGACGUUGAGGCUCGAAAGCGUGGGGAGCAAACAGGAUUAGAUACCCUUGUAAAA
rnacentral:rRNA from 1 species